rnacentral:lncRNA from 1 species
ACACCCGAGCCUAUGCGGGCUUCUAAGCCUUGUCUCAUCUUCUCUGGGUCUCCAGUCCUGAUACCUGCUGUUUGCCUACCACACCCAAAAUCUGGACUUCAGCUCUGGGCAAUCCAGGCUUGGCCUAAUACAUAAACAUCUAUUUUCCCAAGAACCUGUAGUCGAGGUCUUAGGGAUGGGAGAGAGAAGCUCUGAGGCGUGGAAGAUGGAGAAGAGCAUCCACACCACUUUUCAAAUUCAGGUGCUCUCUAGAAAUGGAGAAACUACGCAAAUCCCCCUGCCAACACCUGAGACACAACCCGGUCCUCAGUUUGUUUUUUCAAUAAUUGAGGCAAGACAGGAAAGAAUUGCGCGGGUGUGCGCUGUGUGUGGUCCAAAAGGUAAUGGUCAGGCUACAGCUCAGGCCUACCCUAGAGGUCCCCGAAUUGCACAGGAUGAGGUGUGGUACCAGAGACCCUCAGGGAUCAUCUGGAGGCUAGGAAGAGGCCCAAGCCCCCUGACCCCAAGACUAGGCAGAUGC